AACGAACGCUGGCGGCAUGCCUAACACAUGCAAGUCGAACGAGACCUUCGGGUCUAGUGGCGCACGGGUGCGUAACGCGUGGGAACCUGCCUUUAGGUUCGGAAUAACUCAGAGAAAUUUGAGCUAAUACCGGAUGAUGUCUUCGGACCAAAGAUUUAUCGCCUUUAGAUGGGCCCGCGUUGGAUUAGCUAGUUGGUGGGGUAAAGGCCUACCAAGGCGACGAUCCAUAGCUGGUCUGAGAGGAUGAUCAGCCACACUGGGACUGAGACACGGCCCAGACUCCUACGGGAGGCAGCAGUGGGGAAUAUUGGACAAUGGGCGAAAUGCUGAUCCAGCAAUGCCGCGUGAGUGAUGAAGGCCUUAGGGUUGUAAAGCCCUUUUACCCGAGAUGAUAAUGACAGUAUCGGGAGAAUAAGCUCCGGCUAACUCCGUG
rnacentral:rRNA from 1 species